AGCUGGAUUCUGGUUAACCUUGGGCAUGAGUUGAGCAAGACAUUCAAUUUUAUCAAGAACAGAAAAAAACAGCUAUGUCUACAAAGCUAUAUGUGAGGGGCUGUUACCAUUGGGGAUUGACUGGAGAGCAGAACAAUACACAGAGCAGAUUGAGUGUCUGAAGACAGAGUACCACGAAGUCAAAGCUUCUAACAGCACCUCUGGGAAUUCCCCAUUUUUCUGCCCUUUUUAUGAGGAAUUUGACUGGGUACUGUAGUGAGCACUGAGCCCACAGUGUUGCAUCACAAUCGGCUGAGCAGGGUUGGCACCCUUAUAACCCCCAAUCACAAGCACCGCUGGAGGACAACCCGCUGUUGGAUGAGGGCAAGAGGUGACCCUGGUGCUGAGGCUGGUAACUGAAGAGGUUUUGCUGCCAUUGCCUCUGCAGCACAUCCUACAGCCAUACUCAGAGGAGCUGUACGGGGAUGGCCCUGGGGAGCAGCCGACUGCAGAAGUGGUAUCAGAGCAAGUGCUGGAGCCGGAGCCUGUGAAAUGCACCCCUGUGGAGAGGCCCAGCAGAAAGCCUUUGCACCACUUACGUCACACUUAAGCUCUUUGCCUUCAUUUAAGUAAAACAGUAAGAUGCUAGCCCAAGGAGAAAAUCUGAAAAUGCAAAGUGGAUCCUACAGGCUGAAAAUCCAGACAGCAAAUAAAGAGAAUGCAAUGUGCUUAAUUCUAGGGGGUCUGACUCAGUAUUUUUGAAUGCCUGGGGUUGGCAAUAUUGUGAUUGGAUCAAUGGGAAUGGUGGGGACCUAAGCAGUAGGAUCAUGGACAAGCCACAACUACAGCCCAUUAGCCACAGCAAAAGCCACAU